GCCGGCUUGGCGCAAUUGGUAGCGCAUCCGACUUGUAAUCGGAAGGUUGCGGGUUCAAGUCCCGCAGCCGGCCC
rnacentral:tRNA from 1 species